GAUGAACGCUGGCGGCGUGCCUAAUACAUGCAAGUCGAGCGAACAGACGAGGAGCUUGCUCCUCUGACUUUAUCGGCGGACGGGUGAGUAACACGGGGAUAACCUACCUAUCAGACUGGGAUAACUUUGGGAAACCGUAGCUAAUACCGGAUAAUAUAUUGAACCGCAUGGUUCCAUAGUUAAAUACGGUUUUUCUUUGACUUAUAGCUUGAUCAGCCCCGCAUUAGCUAGUUGGUAAGGUAGCGGCUUACCAAGGCAGGUAUGCGAAGCCGCCCUAAAGGGGAGGUGGGACAGCUGGGAAGAGAGACAGGGUAGAGACACUGACGGGGAGAAACAGUAGAGAAUCUUACGCGAUGCAGGAGAGGGGGAUGGAGCAAAGCCGCGUGAGGGAUGAUGGACUUAGGAUCGUAAAACUCUGAUAUUAGGAAAGAAGAAAAGUGUAAGUAACCAGGAACAUAAUGACGGUACCGAAACAGAAAGCCACGGCUAACUACGUG
rnacentral:rRNA from 1 species